rnacentral:rRNA from 1 species
UAAGCAAGAUGUGAAAUCGUACGGCUCAACCGUAUACACAUAUUUUGAACUGACAGGCUAGAGUAUAUGAGAGGUCACUGGAAUUUCUAGUGUAGGAGUGAAAUCCGUAGAUAUUAGAAGGAACACCGAUGGCGUAGGCAGGUGACUGGCAUAUUACUGACGCUAAGGCACGAAAGCGUGGGAGCGAACGGGAUUAGAUACCCCGGUAGUCCACGCCGUAAACGAUGGAUGCUA